AUUGAACGCUGGCGGCAGGCUUAACACAUGCAAGUCGAACGAGUGGCGGACGGGUGAGUAAUGUCUAGGAAACUGCCCGAUGGAGGGGGAUAACUACUGGAAACGGUAGCUAAUACCGCAUACCAUCGGAUGUGCCCAGAUCGGAUUAGCUAGUAGGUGGGGUAACGGCUAACCAAGACAACGAUCCCUAGCUGGUCUGAUAGGAUGACCAGCCAAACUGGAACUGAGACACGGCCCAGACUCCGACGUGAGGCAGCAGUGGGGAAUAUUGGACAAUGGGCGAAAGCCUGAUGCAGCCAUGCCGCGUGUAUGAAGAAGGCCUUCGGGUUGUAAAGUACUUUCAGCGAGGAGGCGUUAUUCGCAGAAGAAGCACCGGCUAACUCCGUGCCAGCAGCCGCGGUAAUAC
rnacentral:rRNA from 1 species